rnacentral:rRNA from 1 species
AACGAACGCUGGCGGCAUGCCUAAUACAUGCAAGUCGAACGAUCCUUUCGGGGAUAGUGGCGCACGGGUGCGUAACGCGUGGGAAUCUGCCCUUGGGUUCGGAAUAACAGUUGGAAACGACUGCUCAUACCGGAUGAUGACGUUAGUCCAAAGAUUUAUCGCCCAAGGAUGAGCCCGCGUAGGAUUAGCUAGUUGGUAAGGUAAAGGCUUACCAAGGCGACGAUCCUUAGCUGGUCUGGGAGGAUGAUCAGCCACACUGGGACUGAGACACGGCCCAGACUCCUACGGGAGGCAGCAGUAGGGAAUAUUGGACAAUGGGGGCAACCCUGAUCCAGCAAUGCCGCGUGAGUGAUGAAGGCCUUAGGGUUGUAAAGCUCUUUUACCCGGGAUGAUAAUGACAGUACCGGGAGAAGAAGCCCCGGCUAACUUCGUGCCAGCCGCCGCGGUAAUAC